GGCACAAGUGAUGGACAAACCAAAGGGACUUAAUGCUGAACGCACCCUGAUGUUACCUAGGUGGCUGAUGUGC